rnacentral:rRNA from 1 species
GAGGGAAAGGCGAAAAGAACCCCGGCGAGGGGAGUGAAAAAGAACCUGAAACCGUGUACGUACAAGCAGUAGGAGCCCCAUCACUCAAGUGCCUCGCACUGAGUGAUGCAAUAACACCACCGAAAAUAGCGCCGAAUUUGCUAACAAGGUUGGUCGAUUUUUUCAAGCCGUCGCGCAGUGUACCUAGAAGUACACGAGCAACGGAAGUUAAAAAAUCGGGCAAGAUUGAACGCAAAGGCAAGCGGGACAUUUGAGGAUGGGGUGACUGCGUACCUUUUGUAUAAUGGGUCAGCGACUUAUAUUCUGUAGCAAGGUUAACCGUAUAGGGGAGCC